rnacentral:tRNA from 1 species
ACAUCGUUCGACUAGGGGUUAGGUCGCUGUCUUUUCACGUCAGAAACACGGGUUCGAAUCCCGUACGGUAUA